CUGAACCCUCUUCCGUGAUUUGAUUGCCCUCAUUAGUAAGAUUGCCAGCUCGCCUUUGCAUCACUCUUUGUGACUUGCCGUGUAAGGCCCCAUUCCCCACCUUUUUCUACCAGCAAAGCAAGAAUAUAAACUUUUCCCUCUCAUAAUUUUCUUUUUUCUAGUUGCCUUUUCUUCUCCACCUAGACAAGUUCCUUUAGCUUUUGUGGUAAAGCUGGUUUCGAGCCUAUUGCUCGGCCGUGUCCACCUCUUUGCGACCCCAUGCGCUGCAGCCCACUAGGCUCCUCUGUCCAUGGGAUUCUCCAGGCAAGAAUACUGGAGGGGUUUGCCAUUUCCUUCUCCAGGGGAUCUUCCCAACCCAGUGAUGGAACCCAGGUCUCCGACAUUGCAGGCAGACGCUUUAACCUCACUAGGCUGUUGCCAACAUCGAGGAGAUGGUUUAUGCACACGUUUUUAGAGAUAAAUAAACCACUAUGCAAAAUGCCCUUAUGCUAAUAGCAGCUACUAGGGAUUACAUUAGAUCCCUUUGGGUACAGAACUUCCUCUACUGUAGCUGGUUUGGUGGUGCUGAAUUCUUUUUGCUUAUCUGUAAUUUUUUUAUUUCUCUAUCAAAUCUGAGUAAGAGUCUUCUGGAUAGAGUAUGCUUUGCUGUAUGUUUUUCUCCUUUAAGUAUUGUGCCACUCUUUUCCUGACCUGCAGUUUCUGCUGUAAAAUCAGAUGAUAGCCUUAUGGGAGUUCCUUUGUAUAUUAUUUGUUGCUUUUAAUAUUCUCAAUCUUCAAUUUUUAUCCUUUGGGUUACAUUGUAUCUUGGUGGAUAUCUCUGUGGGUUAAUCUCCUGGACAGCACUUCUGAACUUAUGUGACUGUUUCCUUUCCCAGGUUAGGGAACUUUUCAGCUAUUACCUCUUCAAAUAUUUUUCUCAGGUCCUUUCUCUCUUCUUCUGGGACUCCUAUAAUGUGAAUAUUUUUGCAACAACAUGGAUGGACCAAGAGAUGAUCAUACUAAGUGAAGUAAG
ensembl:lncRNA